rnacentral:tRNA from 1 species
GCCUAAGUAGCUCGGAGGCAGGGCGACAGGCCGAAGGCUUGUUUGGCAACGGUUCGAGUCCGUUUUUAGACG